rnacentral:rRNA from 1 species
GAUGAACGCUAGCGGCAGGCCUAAUACAUGCAAGUCGAGGGGCAGCGCAGUGUAGCAAUACAUGGGCGGCGACCGGCAAACGGGUGCGGAACACGUACAGAACCUUCCUCGGAGCGGGGGAUAGCCCAGAGAAAUUUGGAUUAAUACCCCAUAGUAUGACCGGGUGGCAUCAUUUGGUCAUUAAAGAUUUAUCACUUUGAGAUGGCUGUGCGUCUGAUUAGGUAGUUGGUGAGGUAACGGCUCACCAAGCCAACGAUCAGUAACUGGUGUGAGAGCACGACCAGUCACACGGGCACUGAGACACGGGCCCGACUCCUACGGGAGGCAGCAGUAAGGAAUAUUGGUCAAUGGACGCAAGUCUGAACCAGCCAUGCCGCGUGGAGGAUGAAGGUCCUCUGGAUUGUAAACUUCUUUUAUCUGGGACGAAAAAAGGGUUUUCUAACUCGACUGACGGUACCAGAUGAAUAAGCACCGGUUAACUCCGUGCCAGCAGCCGCAGUAAGAC